AUUGAGCGCUGGCGGCAUGCCUUACACAUGCAAGUCGAACGGUAACAGGUCUUCGGAUGCUGACGAGUGGCGAACGGGUGAGUAAUACAUCGGAACGUGCCCGAUCGUGGGGGAUAACGAAGCGAAAGCUUUGCUAAUACCGCAUAAGAUCUACGGAUGAAAGCAGGGGACCGCAAGGCCUUGCGCGAACGGAGCGGCCGAUGGCAGAUUAGGUAGUUGGUGGGAUAAAAGCUUACCAAGCCGACGAUCUGUAGCUGGUCUGAGAGGACGACCAGCCACACUGGGACUGAGACACGGCCCAGACUCCUACGGGAGGCAGCAGUGGGGAAUUUUGGACAAUGGGCGAAAGCCUGAUCCAGCCAUGCCGCGUGCAGGAUGAAGGCCUUCGGGUUGUAAACUGCUUUCAGGAGGGACGAAGCCACUCGGGUGAAUAGCCCAGAGGGUGACGGUACCUCCAGAAGAAGCCCCGGCUAACUACGUGCCAGCCGCCGCCGUAAAAC
rnacentral:rRNA from 1 species